UUGACUUAUUUGUAGUCUACUCAGAAUACACUGUAAUUCAGGGUUUGGUUUGCGUGCCACCGGCAGGCGCCCCGCGAGGGAGGCUGCGCCCCGUACAGGGCGCCCCGCCGAAGCAACGAUAGGUAUGUCCACGAGGGUUGGGAGUUUAAAACUCGGUAAUGAUCCCUCCGCUGGUUCACCAACGGAGA
rnacentral:misc_RNA from 1 species